rnacentral:tRNA from 1 species
GAGGGUAUAGGUCAGUGGUAGAGUGCAUGCCUAGCAUGCAAGAGGUCCUGGGUUCAAUCCCCAUUACCGCCA